UACGGAGGGUGCGAGCGUUAAUCGGAAUUACUGGGCGUAAAGCGCACGCAGGCGGUUUGUUAAGCUAGAUGUGAAAGCCCCGGGCUCAACCUGGGAUGGUCAUUUAGAACUGGCAGACUAGAGUCUUGGAGAGGGGAGUGGAAUUCCAGGUGUAGCGGUGAAAUGCGUAGAUAUCUGGAGGAACAUCAGUGGCGAACGGCGACUCCCCUGGCCAAAAGACUGACGCAUCAUGGUGCGAAAAGUGUUGGGUAGCGAACAAGGAUUAGAUACCCGCGUAGUCC
rnacentral:rRNA from 1 species